rfam:Atta colombica isolate Treedump-2 unplaced genomic scaffold scaffold143, whole genome shotgun sequence.
AAAGCUAAUUUUAUUUUUCAAGCUAAUCUGUUCUUAUCAGUUUCAUAUCUGAUACAGUUCCCAUAGGGGGUUCAAUAUAUUAAUCUAUUUUUUGGGACCAGGCGGAUGCUCGGAGCUUAUUCCGACUUUAUCACGGGUCGACCCUGCAUUGCAUUGCAGCAAAGUAUGGCCUAGCAAUG